UAUGGGUCCAAUCUAAUUCUGCAUGAUGGUUUAUUUAUGUAGUCUCGCUUUUGGACCAGAUAAAUGCCCAUCCUCUAUUAUCCUUGUGCUUGUGACAGCAUUUCAGUUCAAUGCACAUGAGAAACGUAGAGGAACAGUA